rnacentral:rRNA from 1 species
GGGUUGUGAGGUUAAGCGACUAAGCGUACACGGUGGAUGCCCUGGCAGUCAGAGGCGAUGAAGGACGUGCUAAUCUGCGAUAAGCGUCGGUGAGGUGAUAUGAACCGUUAUAACCGGCGAUUUCCGAAUGGGGAAACCCAGUGUGUUUCGACACACUAUCAUUAACUGAAUCCAUAGGUUAAUGAGGCGAACCGGGGGAACUGAAACAUCUAAGUACCCCGAGGAAAAGAAAUCAACCGAGAUUCCCCCAGUAGCGGCGAGCGAACGGGGAGGAGCCCAGAGCCUGAAUCAGUGUGUGUGUUAGUGGAAGCGUCUGGAAAGGCGUGCGAUACAGGGUGACAGCCCCGUACACAAAAAUGCACAUAUUGUGAGCUCGAUGAGUAGGGCGGGACACGUGGUAUCCUGUCUGAAUAUGGGGGGACCAUCCUCCAAGGCUAAAUACUCCUGACUGACCGAUAGUGAACCAGUACCGUGAGGGAAAGGCGAAAAGAACCCCGGCGAGGGGAGUGAAAAAGAACCUGAAACCGUGUACGUACAAGCAGUGGGAGCCUCUUAAUGGGGUGACUGCGUACCUUUUGUAUAAUGGGUCAGCGACUUAUAUUCUGUAGCAAGGUUAACCGAAUAGGGGAGCCGAAGGGAAACCGAGUCUUAACUGGGCGUUAAGUUGCAGGGUAUAGACCCGAAACCCGGUGAUCUAGCCAUGGGCAGGUUGAAGGUUGGGUAACACUAACUGGAGGACCGAACCGACUAAUGUUGAAAAAUUAGCGGAUGACUUGUGGCUGGGGGUGAAAGGCCAAUCAAACCGGGAGAUAGCUGGUUCUCCCCGAAAGCUAUUUAGGUAGCGCCUCGUGAAUUCAUCUCCGGGGGUAGAGCACUGUUUCGGCAAGGGGGUCAUCCCGACUUACCAACCCGAUGCAAACUGCGAAUACCGGAGAAUGUUAUCACGGGAGACACACGGCGGGUGCUAACGUCCGUCGUGAAGAGGGAAACAACCCAGACCGCCAGCUAAGGUCCCAAAGUCAUGGUUAAGUGGGAAACGAUGUGGGAAGGCCCAGACAGCCAGGAUGUUGGCUUAGAAGCAGCCAUCAUUUAAAGAAAGCGUAAUAGCUCACUGGUCGAGUC